rnacentral:rRNA from 1 species
UACGGAGGAGGCGAGCGUUAUCCGGAAUUAUUGGGCGUAAAGCGUCCGUAGGUGGUUCACCAAGUCUGCUGUCAAAGGGUGGGGCUUAACCUCAUAAAGGCAGUGGAAACUGGUGAGCUAGAGUGCGGUAGGGGUAAGGGGAAUUCCCAGUGUAGCGGUGAAAUGCGUAGAGAUUGGGAAGAACAUCGGUGGCGAAAGCGCCUUACUGGGCCUGCACUGACACUGAGGGACGAAAGCUAGGUGAGCGAACGGG